UACGGGGGGGGCAAGCGUUGUUCGGAAUUACUGGGCGUAAAGGGCUCGUAGGCGGCCAACUAAGUCGGAUGUGAAAUCCCCAGGCUUAACCUGGGAACUGCAUCCGAUACUGGAUGGCUUGAAUCCGGGAGAGGGAUGCAGAAUUCCAGGUGUAGCGGUGAAAUGCGUAGAUAUCUGGAGGAAUACCGGUGGCGAAGGUGGCAUCCUGGACCGGCAUUGACGCUGAGGAGCGAGAGCUAGGGGAGCAAACGGG
rnacentral:rRNA from 1 species